CCUACGGGAGGCUGCAGUGGGGAAUAUUGCACAAUGGGCGCAAGCCUGAUGCAGCCAUGCCGCGUGUGUGAAGAAGGCCUUCGGGUUGUAAAGCACUUUCAGCGGGGAGGAAGGCGUUAAGGUUAAUAACCUUGUCGAUUGACGUUACCCGCAGAAGAAGCACCGGCUAACUCCGUGCCAGCAGCCGCGGUAAUACGGAGGGUGCAAGCGUUAAUCGGAAUUACUGGGCGUAAAGCGCACGCAGGCGGUCUGUCAAGUCGGACGUGAAAUCCCCGGGCUCAACCUGGGAACUGCAUUCGAAACUGGCAGGCUAGAGUCUUGUAGAGGGGGGUAGAAUUCCAGGUGUAGCGGUGAAAUGCGUAGAGAUCUGGAGGAAUACCGGUGGCGAAGGCGGCCCCUGGACAAAGACUGACGCUCAGGUGCGAAAGCGUGGGGAGCAAACAGGAUUAGAUACCCCGGUAGUC
rnacentral:rRNA from 1 species